AACCUGAGCAUCGAGAUGACGCAGCUGGAGCUGUCGAGGUGGGACGGCAGCCAGGGCACGGUCAUCAAGGGAGCAGGGUACCACGACUUCGUCGGCAAGUGCGGCUUCAGGGAGGAUGACCUCGUUGAGAUAUGGGCAUUCAAGCAGAGGGAAUUCCGGAACUUUGGGGUGAAUAUGUGCGAUGAGAGCCCGCUCUAUAUCGUGCUAGUUAACAAACAAGCACGGCGAGCAGCGGCGGCCCGUGGUGUCGCCGUUGCCGGCCCCGCCGCGCGAUCGACCAUGCCGGCGCUGUAG
rnacentral:rRNA from 1 species